UACGUAGGUUGCAAGCGUUGUCCGGAUUUACUGGGCGUAAAGCGCGCGCAGGCGGUUCCGAAAGUCGAGUGUGAAAGCUCCCGGCCCAACUGGGAGAGGCCGUUCGAAACUUCGGAACUUGAAGACGGGAGAGGCAGAUGGAAUUUCCGGUGUAGCGGUAAAAUGCGUAGAUACCGGAAGGAACACCAGUGGCGAAAGCGAUCUGCUGGCCCGUCCUUGACGCUCAGGCGCGAAAGCUAGGGGAGCGACCGGG
rnacentral:rRNA from 1 species